rnacentral:rRNA from 1 species
UACGUAGGGGGCAAGCGUUUGUCCGGAAUCAUUGGGCGUAAAGAGCGUGUAGGCGGCCCGGUCAGUCCGCCGUGAAAGUCCAGGGCUCAACCCUGGAAUGCCGGUGGAUACUGCCGGGCUGGAGUCCGGAAGAGGCGAGUGGAAUUCCUGGUGUAGCGGUGAAAUGCGCAGAUAUCAGGAGGAACACCGGUGGCGAAGGCGGGUCUCUGGGCCGUAACUGACGCUGAGGAGCGAAAGCAUGGGGAGCGAACAGG